UAUGUUUCUGUCUUAUUUCAUU
rnacentral:miRNA from 3 species